GGGAAUAGCCGGAGGCGUGAAUUGAAGAGCAAGACUUUCUGCCCUAUUUCAAAGGUCUUCCUUUGAAUGGCUUUGUCAUGAAAUGCCUUCGUCUUUUCCUUGUAAAUCCGUGCACUCUCAUAGGCAUCAUUCCUCAUCUCAUCCAAUUCAUUCACUUGGAGUCGCCGUGCAUCUCCAGCUUCUUUCAUAUCGAAAUUGAAUUUCUUGAUUGCCCAAAAUGCUCUAUGUUCAAGUUCAACCGGAAGGUGACAUGCUUUACCAUAAACCAAACGAAAAGGAGACAUACCAAUGGGGGUUUUGU
rnacentral:lncRNA from 1 species